GUUUGUGGAUGGUGUUCAGUAGCAAGGGGAUGUGUGUUUGCUUGUGUGUGGAUGGUGUUCAGCACCAGGGACAGGGGUGUUUGCCU
rnacentral:pre_miRNA from 1 species